AUACCAGCUGGCUGCAACUGUUUAUUAAAAACACAGCACUGUGCAAACACGAAAGUGGACGUAUACGGUGUGACGCCUGCCCGGUGCCGGAAGGUUAAUUGAUGGGGUUAUCCGUAAGGAGAAGCUCUUGAUCGAAGCCCCGGUAAACGGCGGCCGUAACUAUAACGGUCCUAAGGUAGCGAAAUUCCUUGUCGGGUAAGUUCCGACCUGCACGAAUGGCGUAAUGAUGGCCAGGCUGUCUCCACCCGAGACUCAGUGAAAUUGAACUCGCUGUGAAGAUGCAGUGUACCCGCGGCAAGACGGAAAGACCCCGUGAACCUUUACUAUAGCUUGACACUGAACACUGGUCCUUGAUGUGUAGGAUAGGUGGGAGGCUUUGAAGUGUGGACGCCAGUCUGCAUGGAGCCGCCCUUGAAAUACCACCCUUUAAUGGCUGGUGUUCUAACGUAGGCCCGUUACCCGGGUUGCGGACAGUGUCUGGUGGGUAGUUUGACUGGGGCGGUCUCCUCCUAAAGAGUAACGGAGGAGCACGAAGGUUAGCUAAUCCUGGUCGGACAUCAGGAGGUUAGUGCAAAGGCAUAAGCUAGCUUGACUGCGAGCGUGACGGCGCGAGCAGGUGCGAAAGCAGGUCUUAGUGAUCCGGUGGUUCUGAAUGGAAGGGCCAUCGCUCAACGGAUAAAAGGUACUCCGGGGAUAACAGGCUGAUACCGCCCAAGAGUUCAUAUCGACGGCGGUGUUUGGCACCUCGAUGUCGGCUCAUCACAUCCUGGGGCUGAAGUAGGUCCCAAGGGUAUGGCUGUUCGCCAUUUAAAGUGGUACGCGAGCUGGGUUUAGAACGUCGUGAGACAGUUCGGUCCCUAUCUGCCGUGGGCGCUGGAGAAUUGAGGGGGGCUGCUCCUAGUACGAGAGGACCGGAGUGGACGCAUCACUGGUGUUCGGGUUGUCAUGCCAAUGGCACUGCCCGGUAGCUAAAUGCGGAAGAGAUAAGUGCUGAAAGCAUCUAAGCACGAAACUUGCCCCGAGAUGAGUUCUCCCUGACCCUUAAAGGGUCCUGAAGGAACGUUGAAGACGACGACGUUGAUAGGCCG
rnacentral:rRNA from 1 species